rnacentral:rRNA from 1 species
AUGAACAUCGUAACAAAUUCGGAGGGUGAGAUUGAAGUCAACGACACCGACAAUCCAAGCCAGGUUCUCUUCUUCGCGAACCUGGAAUUCGUUCUUGAUUCAUACGGAGAGCUUCACCUUCGUAGCCCAGCACAUUGCCAAACACAGGAGCUGGAGCCGAUUUUCAUCAAUCCACCAACCUCCUACUUCGUCGUCAACAUGGAGUCGCUUCACGACGUCCUCGGGGAGCGUGAUGUGGAGGAAGAGGAAAGUAACAACAGCUGCCCAGAGGCCAUCCCGGUUCGUCCCUGGCCUUGGUAG